rnacentral:misc_RNA from 1 species
GAUGAAGAACGCAGCGAAAUGCGAUAAGUAAUGUGAAUUGCAGAAUUCAGUGAAUCAUCGAAUCUUUGAACGCAUCUUGCGCUCCUUGGUAUUCUGAGGAGCAUGCCUGUUUGAGUGUCAUUAAAUUCUCAACUACACUGACUUUGAAUUGGUGUGGCUUGGAGUUGGGGGGAAAAUUGUUGUGGGCUUUUUGUAUAGUCUGCUCCCCUGAAAUUGAUUAGCGGUACCUUUGUGGAACUGUCUACAGGUGUGAUAAUUAUCUACAUCUUAGACAUCUGCUGGAAUGCUGCUUUCUAAACCUUACUUGUAUUGACAAUCUUGACCUCAAAUCAGGUAGGACUACCCGCUGAACUUAAGCAUAUCAAUAAGCGGAGGA